rnacentral:rRNA from 1 species
CGGAGGUGCAAGCGUUAUCCGGAUUUACUGGGUUUAAGGGUGCGUAGGUGGGUCUGUAAGUCAGUGGUGAAAUCUCCGGGCUUAACUCGGAAACUGCCAUUGAUACUAUAGGUCUUGAAUUAUCUGGAGGUGAGCGGAAUAUGUCAUGUAGCGGUGAAAUGCUUAGAUAUGACAUAGAACACCAAUUGCGAAGGCAGCUCACUACGGAUAUAUUGACACUGAGGCACGAAAGCGUGGGGAUCAAACAGGAUUAGAUACCCUGGUAGUUCACGCCCUAAACGAUGGAUACUCGACAUACGCGAUACACAGUGUGUGUCUGAGCGAAAGCAUUAAGUAUCCCACCUGGGAAGUACGAUCGCAAGAUUG